AUUCGGCAAGUAUUUAUUGAGCGCAUACUCUGUGGCAGGCCCUGCUCUGAAUUUUAGGGAUAUUGUCCUGAGGAAGACAGCCUUAGCUCCUGCCCGCAUGGGGCUUACAGUCUAGAGUGGGGUGGGGGGCAGACAUUCAGUAGCCAUGCAGAUGAACACAUAGGUACAAAGCAAACUGUGUUCAACAAGAUUGUCAACAGGGUUGGAGAAAUGCGUCCACAGCCUUUCCUGAGUAAGUGGGAUUUCAGCUGAAGGAUGACAAGUCAGCCUGCACAGGGCAGGGCAGGGGCCCCCAGGGCGUGAGUGCAAAGCCCUCGAGUGGCGGACAAGCCAGAGGCUUGCGACAAGGCAGCAUGAGCUGGGGCGGCGCGGGGGGAGGCUGGGGGCUGACUGGCCGGACUGGGCAUGGCCUUGCAAAAGAGAGCUAUUGAAGGAUUUAGUUUAAGUGGCUUAACAAAAAUAAACCUCUAUCUCUUUGACCUGGGUCUCUAGAGCUUCUCCUGCCUCCUUUGCCCUCAGUGUCCAUUCUGUGUGAUGAGAAGUUGGGCUUGGGGGAGGUCUCAGCCCUCACCCCCUUCUCGGGCAGAAGGGCAGCUGAUUGAAAGCAGAUGUCUCGCCCUGGUGGGGCCCAGCCCGGCUCCCCAGUGCUGACCUCAGACCUGCACCGCUGGCAUGUCCAGGCCGCAGACUCUCUGUCAGCAAAGCCGCAUCCGUCCUGCAGAGAGACGAUCACUGUGGUUGCCCACACCCCCAACCCAGCAAUUUCCCUACCACGGUGAGAAACCUCCCGUAUUCUGGGGCUGGGGCCCAGCCUCCUCCUUCCAAUUGCCUGGGGGAGGGAGAGACACCAAUUAGGUUCUUGGAAAGGAACUAGGUUAGAAGAGGUAUCUGUCACCCCUGCCCAGUUCCUCGGCACACCUGCACCAGCACAGCGCCAAAGGAGGCCACCAUUAUCCUAUUCAGCAUGUCCUUGGCUCUGGGCUAAGUGCUUUAUGUCUUCCCAUUUAACCUUCACAAACAGCUCCAUGAGGCCCAACCGUUAAGGCAGUGUGUGACUGAGGCUCAGAGAGGACACCUUGUCACACGGCUGGUAGGUGCAGAGCUGGGAUCUGAGCCCAGGUCAUCAGGUCUGAAGUCUGUGACCCCAGUGGUCCUCUGCAGGGGGCACUGGCUGUUGCUCCUGUGCCUCUCAGACACUCCAUGUGCCUGUUGCACCUGAGGAAGCCCAGGUCAGCUCCAGGCUGCUCGUGCCUCCAGGGACCUGCGUCUUGGCAUAGGGCAGCAACAUGGGCCCAGAGAGUGCUGGUGCGGCCUCUAGGUGGUGGCCUGGGCUCUGGACAUUGUCAAGGGCAGUAUGCUUGCUGUUGAAUCAGUUUGGACCAUGCCCAGGGGUCUCUUCGCAGAGGGAGUUACCAUUUUAAUUUUUGCCUUUGAACACCCCUGGGAACCACCCCCCAUGCACCUGCCCUUUUGGGGCUGCUACGUCCAUGAGGCCUCUGCUCCCCGGCCCCCACCAUGCACCUGGAGGCAUUCAGCAGGCUCCACAGGUUUCCCAGAGAUGCCUCUGGUGUCCUGCAGCAACCCUAGUGGCCACUUCCCUCACUACCCCUUACUCUCAGGCCACCCUAGAACAGUACUCUCUUUCCUCUGCUCCUACAAGGCUGCUCCCAGCCCAUCUGCAGACCUAUCUGCCUCACCCCUGGCCGUUUCCCUGGUCUACUUCCUCUUCUCUGCCCAUCCCAGCAUCUC
rnacentral:lncRNA from 10 species